rnacentral:rRNA from 1 species
UAGGGAAUCUUCGGCAAUGGACGAAAGUCUGACCGAGCAACGCCGCGUGAGUGAAGAAGGUUUUCGGAUCGUAAAACUCUGUUGUUAGAGAAGAACAAGGACGUUAGUAACUGAACGUCCCCUGACGGUAUCUAACCAGAAAGCCACGGCUAACUACGUGCCAGCAGCCGCGGUAAUACGUAGGUGGCAAGCGUUGUCCGGAUUUAUUGGGCGUAAAGCGAGCGCAGGCGGUUUCUUAAGUCUGAUGUGAAAGCCCCCGGCUCAACCGGGGAGGGUCAUUGGAAACUGGGAGACGUGGGUGCAGAAGAGGAGAGUGGAAUUCCAUAUGUAGCGGUGAAAUGCAUAGAUAUAUGGAGGAACACCAGUGGCGAAGGCGGCUCUCUGGUCUGUAACUGACGCUGAGGCUCGAAAGCGUGGGGAGCAAGCAGG